rnacentral:rRNA from 1 species
UACGUAGGAUGCAAGCGUUGUCCGGAUUUAUUGGGCGUAAAGAGCGUGUAGGCGGCCAGACAGGUCAGCUGUGAAAACUCGAGGCUCAACCUCGAGACGUCGGUUGAAACCGUCUGGCUAGAGUCCGGAAGAGGAGAGUGGAAUUCCCGGUGUAGCGGUGAAAUGCGCAGAUAUCGGGAAGAACACCCGUGGCGAAGGCGGCUCUCUGGGACGGUACUGACGCUGAGACGCGAAAGCGUGGGGAGCGAACAGG